GCUAAUUGCAAUAUCCCGAUAGGAUUCACAAUAUGUGAAGACGCCUUGUAACCAAAAAAUGGGGGAAUGAAAAAUG
rnacentral:sRNA from 2 species